rnacentral:rRNA from 1 species
AUGUGUUUUAAGUUUGAUAAUGUCUGGCUCAGUAAUCUAGACUUCCUCCCUCUGGUUGCUGAGAUUUGGUCUAGGCCAGUCUACACUUCAAACCCCAUUGACUCCUUGAAUAUUAAGCUUAAGAGAAUUAAGAAAAUUUUUAAGGGUUGGGGGUCCAACUUGUUUGGUCAUAAUAAGAUCAGGAAGAAUAUCAUCAAGCUCGAAUUGCAGGAGCUUGAAAAACUGGAGGAGGCUGAUGGUUUAUGCGGGGAAGCUUAUACUAGGAAGUUGGAUAUUCUAGUAGAGCUUAAUAAGAUGUAUGUUGAAGAAGAACUUCACUGGCAUCAAUUCUCUAAUGAGAGGUGGCUUUUGAAAGGAGAUAACAACACUUACUUUUUCCAUAAAGUAGCUAAUGGUCGUCGUAGGAAGAACUCCAUGAUCUCCCUGGAGUGUGGAUCCACUAUCAUUGAAGGUACUAAAAACCUACUUGUCCAUGCUACUGAGUAUUAUAAAGCCUUGUUUCGACCUACUCCUGGCAAUAUUUGUCAGAUAGAUGCUGCUUUGUGGUCUCAGGAUGAGAUGAUC